GCACAUGUGACAUGCUGGUAGAAAUUAGGUAAAACUGAUUUGUUUGCUUGCAAUAAAGUCCCUGGCCACUAGGAGCACCGCUUCUGGGUGAGCAUUUUCUUGUUUGCUUAUGGCCUUGUACAGCUCGUUGAGUGUGGUCUUAGAGCCAGCAUCGGUUUGUAGUGCUAAAUAGACGGCUACGGAAGAUAUAGAUGAAAACUCUCUUGGUAGAUAGUGUUGUCUACAGCAUAUCAUGAGGUACUCUACCUCAGGCAAGCAAUACCUCGAGGCUACCUUAAUAUUAUACAUUACGCACCAGCUGUUAUUGGUGGCCCCUCGCUUCUCCUCCUACACACGCUCAGACAUGGCAUGGUAGAGGGUGUGCUGAAAGCUGUUGGAGAACAUCCCGAAGUGCUGGGUGGAGAGAGUGCUGACUGGGAUGAUGCAAGCUAUCAGCAGGUAAGGGAAGGGGAGAUAGCUUGAGGUUAUAAAAUGGUUUCAAAUUGUCUGUAUCUUUGUCCCCUCACUUUCUCUCAUAAUGUAAGUGUUAUUUUUCCUCUAGGCCUGACAGAGGUCCAAUGAUCAUGGGGAACCUGGUGUUGAAGAACAAAAAGGCCUGGUUUAUUGUCACCUAUAAACUGCUCCAAUACAAGUAUGAGACUCAUGUUUUGAUUAUUCUUUUGGGUUACCUGACUCAGGACAGGAAGACGCCACUACUUAUACAGUGCUGCGGUCGCUGUGCCAGGCCUGGAGCAGUAGCUCUAUGUGAGCCGGGCUCUGCUGCUGUGUGUGGGACUACUGAGUGAUGCAGAGUUACAGCUGCUACGCUCAGGUACACCCCAACACUACGGUACAGUACUGUGUCACAUGAUUUGACCUGUCUGCCUCCGGGUUGUAUUCAAUGUACAGUGUACAAAUCAUGCACAAUUUUGACAAGGUGGGAGAUACAUACUGAAUUUAUACUGUUUUCCAAGUUAUGUGUCGCAUUUUCACAUUUGUUAAUUGGUUUUGUAAGAGUUGGUUGGUCGGUUCAUUCGUUUUCCAGUAUGUUGAUGCCAUUGGUUAAAAAAGUAAAGGUAAGCUGCAGUGUCCAACCAAAAAUAUAAGCUUGUUUUACUCCAUUGUUUGUAAACAAUAUCAUUUUACAAAAAAAUAUAUAUUUUGGUUGCAUAAAUAAUGAUUACCAAAUAUUACAAUGAAUGUGAAUAUGAAAUAUCAAAACCGAAUGGAAACCCCUUUUGUUUUUGGCAAUAAUUAACUUAAUAGUGAGACAUGGAAUAGUAAAAGAAAGUGUAUUUUGUAUAACGCUGGAUAUUUGAAAUAUGAGUAGGUGAUUUGAGUCAUGCUUCUUCAGUAGUGGAAUACAUUAGCACAUGAAUGUUGGAAAUAAAUAUUGUGUGUAAAUACUGGAGUGAUG